rnacentral:rRNA from 1 species
CUCCGAAAGGAGGAUUAAUACCGCAUGUGGUCUUCGGAUCAAAGACGGCUUCGGCUGUCGCUUCGGGAUAGGCUCGCGGCCCAUCAGCUUGUUGGUGAGGUAACGGCUCACCAAGGCAGCGACGGGUACCUGGUCUGAGAGGACGAUCAGGCACACUGGAACUGAGACACGGUCCAGACACCUACGGGUGGCAGCAGUCGAGAAUCAUUCACAAUGGGGGAAACCCUGAUGGUGCAACGCCGCGUGGAGGAUGACGGCCCUCGGGUUGUAAACUCCUGUCAUCUGGGAGUAAGCCUUGUUCGUUAAUAGCGUGCAAGGUUGAUAGUACCAGAAGAGGAAGGGACGGCUAACUUCGUGCCAGCAGCCGCGGUAAUACGAAGGUCCCAAGCGUUGUUCGGAAUCACUGGGCGUAAAGCGUGCGUAGGCGGCGCGGAAAGUCAGAUGUGAAAGCCCGGGGCUCAACCUCGGAACUGCAUCCGAUACUCCCGCGCUAGAGUAAUGGAGGGGUGACUGGAAUUCUCGGUGUAGCAGUGAAAUGCGUAGAUAUCGAGAGGAACACUCGUGGCGAAAGCGAAUCACUGGACAUUUACUGACGCUGAAGCACGAAGGCCAGGGGAGCGAAAGGGAUUAGAUACCCCUGUAGUCAAGGGCGAAAUUCCAGCACACU